ACGGGGUGCAGCAGGCGCGAAAACUCCGCAAUGCACGAAAGUGUGACGGGGCUACCCCGAGUGCCAUCCGCUGAGGAUGGCUUUUCCUUGGUAUAACUAGCCGAGGGAAUAAGGAGAGGGCAAGACUGGUGUCAGCCGCCGCGGUAAUACCAGCUCUCCGAGUGGUAGGGAUGAUUAUUGGGCUUAAAGCGUCCGUAGCCGGCUUAGCAAGUCUCCUGUUAAAUUCAGCGACCUAAUCGUUGACCCGCGGGAGAUACUACUAAGCUAGGAGGCGGGAGAGGUCGACGGUACUUCUAGGGUAGGGGUGAAAUCCUAUAAUCCUGGGAGGACCACCAGUGGCGAAGGCUGUCGACUAGAACGCGCUCGACGGUGAGGGACGAAAGCUGGGGGAGCGAACCGGAUUAGAUACCCGGGUAGUCCCAGCCGUAAACGAUGCGGGCUAGGUGUUGGGGUGGCUACGUGCCACUUCAGUGCCGCAGGGAAGCCAUUAAGCCCGCCGCCUGGG
rnacentral:rRNA from 1 species